UUAAAGGAAUUGACGGGGCCCGCACAAGCGGCGGAGCAUGCGGAUUAAUUCGAUGCAACGCGAAGAACCUUACCAAGGCUUGACAUACACCGGUAACGCCCAGAGAUGGGUGCCCCUUUGUGGUCGGUGGACAGGUGGUGCAUGGUUGUCGUCAGCUCGUGUCGUGAGAUGUUGGGUUAAGUCCCGCAACGAGCGCAACCCUCGUCCUAUGUUGCCAGCGGGUCAUGCCGGGGACUCAUGGGAGACUGCCGGGGUCAACUCGGAGGAAGUGGGGAUGACGUCAAAUCAUCAUGCCCCUUAUGUCUUGGGCUUCACGCAUGCUACAAUGGCCGGUACAAAGGGCUGCGAUACCGCGAGGUGGAGCGAAUCCCAGAAAGCCGGUCUCAGUUCGGAUUGGGGUCUGCAACUCGACCCCAUGAAGUCGGAGUCGCUAGUAAUCGCAGAUCAGCAACGCUGCGGUGAAUACGUUCCCGGGCCUU
rnacentral:rRNA from 1 species